rnacentral:rRNA from 1 species
GGGACGAACGCUGGCGGCGUGCUUAACACAUGCAAGUCGAGCGGUGAGGCCUUUCGGGGUACACGAGCGGCGAACGGGUGAGUAACACGUGGGUGAUCUGCCCUGCACUUCGGGAUAAGCCUGGGAAACUGGGUCUAAUACCGGAUAUGACCUCAGGUUGCAUGACUUGGGGUGGAAAGAUUUAUCGGUGCAGGAUGGGCCCGCGGCCUAUCAGCUUGUUGGUGGGGUAAUGGCCUACCAAGGCGACGACGGGUAGCCGACCUGAGAGGGUGACCGGCCACACUGGGACUGAGACACGGCCCAGACUCCUACGGGAGGCAGCAGUGGGGAAUAUUGCACAAUGGGCGAAAGCCUGAUGCAGCGACGCCGCGUGAGGAUGACGGCCUCGGUGUAAACCUCUUCUAGCAGGACGAAGCGCAAGUGACGGUACCUGCAGAAGAAGACACCGGACUAACUAACGUGACCAGCAGCCGC